UCGUUGUUGCAGUUAAAAAGCUCGUAGUUGAAAUGAAGGGUAGUUGUGUAAUGAAUACAUUCGUGUAUUUUGUUAUUCUACUACCCUCCUUCUAAAUUCGAUAUAUGAGUAUUAAUUUACUUGUAUAUGGUUUUAGACGUUUACUGUGAGAAAAUUAGAGUGUUCAAAGCAGGCAUUUGCUUGAAUAUAUUAGCAUGGAAUAAUCAUGUAUGAUUUUCAUGAUGUAUUUGAUUGGUUUGGUUCAUGAGAAUAAGAUUAAAAGGGACAGUUGGGGGUAUUCAUAUUCAAUAGUCAGAGGUGAAAUUCUCGGAUUUAUGGAAGAUGAACAAGUGCGAAAGCAUUUACCAAGGAUGUUUUCAUUAAUCA
rnacentral:rRNA from 1 species